CACAAAAUGACUCUCGGCAACGGAUAUCUCGGCUCUUGCAUCGAUGAAGAACGUAGCGAAAUGCGAUACUUGGUGUGAAUUGCAGAAUCCCGUGAACCAUCGAGUCUUUGAACGCAAGUUGCGCCCGAAGCCAUUAGGUUGAGGGCACGCCUGCCUGGGUGUCACA
rnacentral:rRNA from 10 species